rnacentral:piRNA from 1 species
UAAAUAAAAGAGGUCUCUCUUUAGUAAGGU